rnacentral:tRNA from 1 species
GCCUGGGUGGCUCAGUCGCUUAAGCGUCUGACUUUGGCUCAAGUCAUGAUCUCACAGUUCGUGGGUUCGAGUCCCACAUUGGGCU